rnacentral:lncRNA from 1 species
GACUAGAUAUAUUUUCUUACCAUUUAUAUCUCAAUAAUAGAUUGUUUCUUAAGCUACCAAAUGAUUGGGACAUGUUGCCAAUCGAUUGGUAAGUCGUAAAAUGAAUUAAAAGCUAUUUCCUUUUUGAGCUUACCUUUAACCUAUAAAUAAAAGUCCCUUCCCUCAUUUCAAAUCAUCCAGAACUGUGUUUUUCACACAUCUCAC